UCUCUCUGAAUCUGCGAACGGCUCCGCAAACCAGUUGUAAACCAAAGCGAGUCCCGGCCGCUGCCCUUCCGAGGGUAGCUUAGGCCACUAUUUGGAUACCCGUGGUAAUUCUAAGGCUAAUACAUGACAAAGAACCAUGUCCAUUUUGGGCUACCAGUUUCCUGGCUCUCUCCGGGGGGCCGAGCUGGAUCAAUGGCGGUUGGAGCGUGUGAUUCGGCAAGGUAGCACGGGAGUGACCGCACGUUCUGACCGCCGACUAGCGGGCUCGGUUAGUCCUCACCAGGGCUUCCCUUUCGGGUUCCCUUUGGGGCUGCUGGGCCUGGCGGUACUCGUGUGGUGCAUCUGACCUAUCAACUAGACGGCAGCAUAAGGGACAUGCCACGGUUACAACGGGUACAGAGGAUUAGAGUUCGAUCCUGGAGAGUGGGCCUGAGAGAUU
rnacentral:rRNA from 1 species